GCCGCGGUGAAUACGUUCCCGGGCCUUGUACACACCGCCCGUCACACCACGAGAGCUUGCAACACCCGAAGUCGGUGCGGUAACCCUUACGGGAGCCAGCCGCCGAAGGUGGGGCAAGUGAUUGGGGUGAAGUCGUAACAAGGUAGCCGUACCGGAAGGUGCGGCUGGAUCACCUCCUUUCUAAGGA
rnacentral:rRNA from 1 species